rnacentral:rRNA from 1 species
CAGUUCCUACGGGGGGCAGCAGUGGGGAAUAUUGGACAAUGGGGGGAACCCUGAUCCAGCGACGCCGCGUGAGUUAAGAAGUAUUUCGGUAUGUAAAGCUCUAUCAGCAGGGAAGAAAGAAAUGACGGUACCUGACUAAGAAGCCCCGGCUAACUACGUGCCAGCAGCCGCGGUAAUACGUAGGGGGCAAGCGUUAUCCGGAUUUACUGGGUGUAAAGGGAGCGUAGACGGCAAUGCAAGUCUGGAGUGAAAGGCGGGGGCCCAACCACCGGACUGCUCUGGAAACUGGAUAGCUGG